GAUGAACGCCCUCCUAGAGCAGAAGGAGCAGCAGGAGAGGCUGCGGGAGGCCGCGGCCUUAGGGGACAUUCGGGAGGUGCAGAAACUGGUGGAGAGCGGGGUGGAUGUGAACUCCCAAAAUGAGGUCAACGGCUGGACUUGUUUACACUGGGCAUGUAAACGAAACCAUGGUCAGGUGGUCUCUUACCUGUUAAAAUCAGGAGCUGACAAAGAAAUUCUUACCACAAAAGGAGAAAUGCCAGUCCAGUUAACAUCAAGGAGAGAAAUCAGGAAGAUUAUGGGAGGUGAGUCUGUGUUUGGGGGAACUUUUGAUUUCGUCAGACUCAUUGAAGACUUGUGGUAUUAUUGGCUACGUUCUUAAUGCUGGUCAAACAACUGCUCUAUUUCUUUUUUUUUUUUUUUUUCCCGAGACGGAGUUUAGCUCUUGUUGCCCAGGCUGGAGUGCAGUGGCGUGAUCUCGGCUCACCACAACCUCUGCCUCCCAGGUUCAAGUGAUUCUCCUGCCUCAGCCUCCCAAGUAGCUAGGAUUACAGGCAUGUGCCACCAUGUCUCGCUAAUUUUGUAUU
rnacentral:sRNA from 1 species